CCUACGGGCGGCAGCAGUGAGGAAUAUUGGUCAAUGGGCGUAAGCCUGAACCAGCCAAGUCGCGUGAGGGAUGAAGGUUCUAUGGAUCGUAAACCUCUUUUCUCAGGGAAUAAAGUGUGGGACGUGUCCUUUUUUGUAUGUACCUUAUGAAUAAGGAUCGGCUAACUCCGUGCCAGCAGCCGCGGUAAUACGGAGGAUCCGCGCGUUAUCCGGAUUUAUUGGGUUUAAAGGGUGCGUAGGCGGCCUUUUAAGUCAGGGGUGAAAGUGUGUGGCUCAACCAUGGAAUUGCCGUUGAAACUGGGAGGCUUGAGUAGGUUUGAGGCAGGCGGAAUGCGUGGUGUAGCGGGGAAAUGCUUAGAUAUCACGCAGAACCCCGAUUGCGAAGGCAGCCUGCCAAGCCAUGACUGACGCUGAUGCACGAAAGCGUGGGGAUCAAACAGGAUUAGAUACCCCUGUAGUC
rnacentral:rRNA from 1 species